UGGCAUCGGUGCUUCGCAGCUUCGCGGGCCGCCGCUGCCAGAAACCCACCAGCCUGUGACAAUACACAGCGGAGCUGAUCAUUUAAUAAGGCCGGGCAAAGCCUGACAGCUUCAACACGACCGGGCAAGUGGAGCGCCGAACCCCCGCGACCCGCCGCUUCAGCUGAUCGUCCUCUCCCAGCAUCCUCCUGCAGGAUGCUUCCCGGCUUUAAGCUUCACGAAAGGGGACAGAAAGCAGAGCCGCGACACCAAAAAAUACAAUUCAGAUUGACAUAGUUGCAGAUACAACUCGACUGCAUUCUCAUUUACGUUGCAGGGGAAACAGGUUUCUAGGGGUUUCUCCUGGAUUGCAGUCGCAACAUUAACAAAGUGGUUGAAGCUUAAUGUUGAUGCUAGAAUGCUUACAUGCUAAAUAAUAAUGGGAACAUGCUUAGUACACACAGAAGAAUUAAGCUGCCAUCUGGAACCGAAAAUGGUUCUUCAAAGUGAUGCCAUAGAAUAACCAUUUCUGGUUCCACACAGAACAUUUCAAACCAGGGACUUUAAAAAAAAACAUUUCCUUAAAUAGUUUUUCAAAGAACCUAUAAAGGUUCCUCAAAUAACCUUAAAAAAUGGUUCUUUAAGGCACCAUUUCUGGUUCCACACAGAACAUUUCAAACCAGGGACUUAAAAAAAAAAACAUUUUCUUAAAUACUUUUUCAAAGAACCUAUAAAGGCGACUCAAAGAACCUUAAAAAAUGGUUCUUUAAGGCACCAUUUCUGGUUCCACAAAGAAUCUUUCAAACCAGGAUUCUUUAAAAAACUAUUUCCUUAAAUUAUUUUUCAAAGAACCUAUAGAGCGUAUUCACUCACGUGACCACAAAAAACUCUGGCGGCCAUGUUGGGGUCCCACCACGGCAUUGUUUUGCUUGUUUGUAUGCCGCUCUUCCCUUAGAAAUGACCAUUAUAUCCUGAAGGAGACACAA